rnacentral:tRNA from 1 species
CCCUGUCAGCUCAGAUGAUAAAGAGUCUGCCUGCAAUGCAGGAGACCCAGGUUUGAUCCCUGGGUCAGGAA